CCGGCCUUCGGGCGGUAAUUUUUGGGCCCGGCUUUGCCCGUGGCAUAUUUUUGGCACACGGAGGCUUCUCGAAAGUCUCGUGGCAUUCCGAGUCCGGCGGGCGAUGGUUGCCAGCCCCACCCCCCAAGGCUAUAGCCUUUCCGUUUUUGUGGCCUUUUCCCGCUGGACGAACUUGGCGCCCCAGCCUUCGGGCGGUUAAUUUUGGGCGCGGCAUUGCCCGCGGCCUAUUUGUGGCACUCGGAGGCCCCUCGGAAAGUCUCGCGCAAUUCCGAGUCCGGCGGACGAAGUUGGCCAGCCCCACCCCCCAAGGCUAUAGCCCACCUGUUUUUGCGGCCUUGCUCCGCUGGACGAACUUGGCGCCCCAGCCUUCGGGUGGUUAAUUUUGGGCGCGGCCUUGCUCGCGGCCUAUUUUUGGCACACGGAGGCCCAUCAGAAAGUCUCGCGCAAUUCCGAGUCCGGCGGACGAAGUUGGCCAGCCCCACCCCCCAAGGCUAUAGCCCACCCGUUUUUGCGGCCUUGCUCCGCUGGACGAACUUGGAGCCCCGGCCUUCAGGCGGUUAAUUUUGGAUGUGGCUUUGCCAGCGGCCUAUUUUUGGCUCACGGAGGCCCCUCGCAAAGUCUCACGGCAUUCCGAGUCCGGCGGACGAAGUGGGCCAGCCCCACCCCCCAAGGCUAUAGCGCACCCGUUUUUGUGGCCUUUUUCCGCACGACGAACAUGGCGCCCCGGCCUUCGGGCGGUUAUUUUUGGGUACGGCUUUGGCCGCGGCCAAUUUUUGGCACACGGAGGCCCCUCGUAAAGUCUCGCGGCAUUCCAAGUCCGGCGGACGAAGUUGGCCAGCCCCACCCGUUUUUGUUGCCUUUUUCCGCUGGACGAACUUGGCGCCCCGGCCUUCGUGCGGUUAUUUUUGGGCGCGACCUUGCCCGGGGCAUAUUUUUGGAACACGGAGGCCCCUCGCAAAGUCUCGCGGCAUUCCGUGCCCGGCGGACGAAGUUGGCCAGCCCCACCCCCCAAGGCUAUAGCCCACCCAUUUUUGUGGCCUUUUUCCGCUGGACGAACUUGGCGCCCCGGCCUUCGGGUAGUUAAUUUUGGGCGCCGCUUUGCCUGCGGCCUAUUUUUGGCACACGGAGGCCCCUCGUAAAGUCUCGCGGCAUACCGAGUCCGGCGGACGAAGUCGGCCAGCCCCACCCCCCAAGGCUAUAGCCCACCCGUUUUUGUGGCCUUUUUCCGCUGGACGAACUUGGCGCCCCGGCCUUCGGGCGGUUAAUUUUGGGCGCGGCUUUCCCCACGGCCUAUUUUUGGCACACGGAGGCCCCUCGCAAAGUCCCGCGGCAUUCCGAGUCCGGCGGACGAAGUCGGCCGGCCCCACCCCCCAAGGCUAUAGCCCACCCGUUUUUGUGGCCUUUUUCCGNN
rnacentral:lncRNA from 1 species